UUAACUAUUAUAUAGUACUCGGACGACACUGUAAGACAGGGUUUAGGGUUCUCUGGCGGGCGCGCACCAGCCAAGGCCGGUGGCCGAAAGGCGGCCCGCCAAAGCAACAAAGGUAAUGUAUACAAAGGGUGGGAGGUCUACCCCGAAGGGCAUGAACUCUGUAAUGAUCCUUCCGCAGGUUCACCUACGGAAA
rnacentral:misc_RNA from 1 species